GCUGUGAGGUUAGAAAAGCUUGGAGAGUCUUAGAUGGCAAGCUGGCCUCCAGGGAAAGAAAAUACUAUUUGAUUGACAAAAACUGGAAAGCUUGCGACAAAAUAGUAGUCACAUCAUGCAUGUGCGUCUUGAAUUUUUUUUUAUUUUUUAAGAGGGAGAAUGGUCUGUCCACCCUUUAACCCUCUAGAUCCAUAAAAAUUUCAAUCCAGAACAAUGUAUACUAAAGCAGAGGG
rnacentral:lncRNA from 1 species